rnacentral:rRNA from 1 species
UACGUGAGUGACGAGCGUUAUCCGGAAUUACUGGGCGUAAAGGGUCCGUAGGGGGCAAUUCAAGUACAUUGUUAAAUCUACUCGCUCAACGGGUAAACCGCGAUGUAUACUGUUUUGCUAGAGGUAUGUAGAGGUGAAUGGAAUUUCCGGAGUAGGGGUAAUAUCCGUAGAUACCGGAAGGAACACCAAUAGCGAAGGCAAUUCACUGGACAUCACCUGACCCUCAGGGACGAAAGCGUGGGGAGCGAACCGG